AAAAGUGAUUCUGAGUUUUAGUCAGGUGGACAAGUAAAAUCAUGUCCUGUCAACUUGCAGUGUCUCACUACGCAGAAGGAUGAGUUAUAACAACCUCAACUUGAAGGGAAAUUGAAAACUUAAAAUAAGGUGUUCAUAUAACAACAAAACAUAGGUUCUUUCAAUUUUUUUGCCUCAUGCGCAUGUGCCAGAAUCUCUACGUCAUAAUGACGUACUACUUUAACGAAUUUGAACAAGAAGGCGCCAUCGCCAUUUUCUGCACGAGAGGACGAGAUCACUACAGGAGUUGCUGAUGGGAGAAAAAAGACGACGAAGGAGCUCUUAUUUGAACGACUACAGAUGGAUUUUUAUAACAACAAACCAAAGGAUGAGGACUGCAGCAUUGCUUGGGCUGCCGUGAUACAUGCGAGAGACUCCUUCUAAAUUCAUGAAGAUAUGCGAGCCCAGUGACCGUGAAAAGGAUGUGAUCAAGGGCGUGGUGAUCGGAGUCCUAGUGGUUGUGGAAAAUGUGAUGGAGCCUCUCCCAGAAUUCUACAAUGACGUUGCCCUGGUGAUUGAGGAAGAAGUGGUGAUGCGUCACCUGAGUGACAUACCUAAUGCUUUUCUGAACCUGAUGGGCCUGGUGUACGCAUUGUACAUUGACUUUCCAAAGGAAUUAAAAUUCACUUUUGAAGUGAUACAACGCUUGUUCAUUGGAGUGGGAUCACACUCUUGCACCGCAAGAGUUCACUCUUUGAAGAGCAAGUUGCUGAGAUAAGAAACUCUUUUCUUCUCCUUGCUACUAUAAGCACUUACACUGUUUUAAAGUUUAAGACCAUUGUUAUUUUAGAUAUUAUUGUUUUAAAGGGAUACUCCAUCGUUUUGUCAUAUUAAACUGUUAUUACCUUAAAGCAAUAGUUCACUUUGAAAUUAAGUUUUGAUAUGUUUUAGCUUACCUCAAGGGCAUCCAAGAUGUAGGUGUCUUUGUU